AUUGAACGCUGGCGGCAGGCUUAACACAUGCAAGUCGAGCGGGGGAAGGUAGCUUGCUACCGGACCUAGCGGCGGACGGGUGAGUAAUGCUUAGGAAUCUGCCUAUUAGUGGGGGACAACAUCUCGAAAGGGAUGCUAAUACCGCAUACGUCCUACGGGAGAAAGCAGGGGAUCUUCGGACCUUGCGCUAAUAGAUGAGCCUAAGUCGGAUUAGCGAGUUGGUGGGGUAAAGGCCUACCAAGGCGACGAGCUGUAGCGGGUCUGAGAGGAUGAUCCGCCACACUGGGACUGAGACACGGCCCAGACUCCUACGGGAGGCAGCAGUGGGGAAUAUUGGACAAUGGGGGGAACCCUGAUCCAGCCAUGCCGCGUGCGUGAAGAAGGCCUUAUGGUUGUAAAGCACUUUAAGCGAGGAGGAGGCUACUUUAGUUAAUACCUAGAGAUAGUGGACGUUACUCGCAGAAUAAGCACCGGCUAACUCUGUGCCAGCCGCCGCAGUAA
rnacentral:rRNA from 1 species